UGUGUGUGUGGUAAUAUUGCCGUUGGUGCAUAUAUUUAUAUGUAUUUUUGUGUUUUAUUUUUAAUUUUAUUAUCUAAAUUACGACGACAAGUGGACGAUUGACGAAAUGACAACUAUCAGCUGAGUAUUGAACUGAUAUUAAAAGAUUAUUUUUAUUUAUUUUCAAUAUUUUAUAAACUACAUCAUUCGAAUUUCGAUUGUAGUUCGUAAUAGGUACUGUAGGUACUUUUGCUGUUUUAUCGCGUAGUACGUAUACAGUUUUUGUGUUCGAUCUAUUAUUCAAUAAAAUUGUUUCCUUAAUACAUUUUAAUAAAUCAACUAUAAAAUCCAAUAUACAUUAAACAAAAUUCCAACAUGAGUACUCAAAAAAUUGAUUCUUACUUUGGUACUCAAACAAGUGUUUCAAACGGUCAACUAAUAAUAAUGGAUAACAAAAAAAAAAAAACCACAAAUACAGUGGUUGAUAUUACAAAUUUGACGCAAUCGUGGAAUGUUCAAAUUAAUUUAGAUAUCAACACAACUACCCCUAGCGAUCAACAACUCUCUGCCUUUUAACAGCAUUCAACAAUUCAACAUCUAUCUACCUUCAGAAUUAGUCAGUUAUUUAAACAACUUCAAUAAAAUUACUAGUGCAAUUAAACAACCAUGAAUGGCUCUCCACCAUUAAUUUUGCCUUUGAAUGGGAGAGCAGUACGUCUAUUGCCGCAUAGUCAAUUUGUAAUUGACCUUGAAGAUUUAGAAUCCCUAAAAACAAAAAUUCGAAAAAAUUUUACUCAAAAACUACAUUAAAUCUCAUCAGUCAUAAUAAAAUUAGAAUUCUCUAUGGUUGCCUAGGACAAUAAUUUAAACGGUGAUGCAAUAAGGAACAUCAUUUACAAUAGUAAAAGUAAAAAACCUUGUCGGCCAACAUAGAAGCAGGUAGUUCGGACCAUUUGACUAACUACCCAGAAUGAAGUCGGUCGAAGGGAUCAAUGGUACCUGUCGAGCUGAGAAUGGCAUGAUGGUGGCUAGCAGUUUCAAGAACCAAGUCAAGGAAAAAGGACGCAGCAGUUAUCCUUUUUCUAUAUUUCAUAUUUUUUUAUAAGUUAUUAUCCUAAAAUAAAGUACCUCGGUUUGUCUUAAUUAUUCGUAAAAUAAGUGAGUUUGUAUUUUGUUGCAUAGAAUAAAUUUGUC